GGGGCUAUAGCUCAGCUGGGAGAGCGCCUGCCUUGCACGCAGGAGGUCAGCGGUUCGAUCCCGCUUAGCUCCACCAUAUGGUUUUUCUUCAUUCAAUACUUCAGAGCGUACUGUUUAACAGUAUGCUGCGAAGUAUUAUGCUCU
rnacentral:tRNA from 1 species